rnacentral:rRNA from 1 species
AGCAGUCGCCGCGGUAAUACGAAGGGGGCUAGCGUUGUUCGGAUUUACUGGGCGUAAAGCGCACGUAGGCGGACUUUUAAGUCAGGGGUGAAAUCCCGGGGCUCAACCCCGGAACUGCCUUUGAUACUGGAAGUCUUGAGUAUGGUAGAGGUGAGUGGAAUUCCGAGUGUAGAGGUGAAAUUCGUAGAUAUUCGGAGGAACACCAGUGGCGAAGGCGGCUCACUGGACCAUUACUGACGCUGAGGUGCGAAAGCGUGGGGAGCAAACAGGAUUAGAUACCCCCGUAGUCCCUGUCUCUUAUAC